AAGGCUUCUCUGAAGAAGUGACAUUUAAGAUCAUUCAGUUCUGCCUGGAACUUCUCCGUGGGGGCCUCAACAAUAUGAAUGGGAAGAAUCAGAUGUUUUUACAUUGUUACAUCCCUUUAAUUGUCUUUGCUUUCUUCUCUCUCAGGGAACUCUCCUGCCACCUCCUUGCUUACUCUUUAACCCCAGAAGAGCAUCCCCAUACAAAUAAACCCAUAAGUGGAGUCCUGAGUCCACCGACUCAAGCAUUUCAUCACCAUAUCCAAAGUAAUCCCCGGGUCCCAGAAUGAAAAGAGACAACGUCUGUCGUCGCAAAGUGUUCUCAUAG
rnacentral:lncRNA from 1 species